GGAAUAUUGGUCAAUGGUCGCAAGACUGAACCAGCCAAGUAGCGUGCAGGAUGACGGCCUUACAGGUUGUAAACUGCUUUUAUGCGAGGGUAAAGUGUGUCACGUGUGGCAUAUUGCAAGUAUCGCAUGAAUAAGGACCGGCUAAUUCCGUGCCAGCAGCCGCGGUAAUACGGAAGGUCCGGGCGUUAUCCGGAUUUAUUGGGUUUAAAGGGAGCGUAGGCGGUAGGAUAAGUCAGCUGUGAAAUUGCGUCGCUCAACGUCGCGACUGCAGUUGAAACUGUUUUACUUGAGUGCGCACAGCGGCGCUGGAAUUCGUGGUGUAGCGGUGAAAUGCUUAGAUAUCACGAAGAACUCCGAUCGCGAAGGCAGGUGCCGGGGGCGCAACUGACGCUGAGGCUCGAAAGUGUGGGUAUCAAACA
rnacentral:rRNA from 1 species